GUCUAUGGCCAUACCACCCUGAAUGUGCCCAGUCUCGUCUGAUCUGGGAAGCUAAGCAGGGUCGGGCCUGGUUAGUACUUGGAUGGGAGAAAUACAUUUGCUGAAUAGU
rnacentral:rRNA from 1 species